rnacentral:tRNA from 1 species
UCCUUGGUGGCUCAGAUGGUAAAGCAUCUGCCUGCAGUGCAGAAGACCUGGGUUCGAUCCCUGGGUCAGGAA